GGCUAAUGGUCUCUUUUGAAGGAUUCUAUUAAUUCAUUAUGUACUUGUUAACAAUUCUUUCCCUCCCAUAAUUGUCCAGGGGGAGACAAGGCAUACAAGGUGGUUCUAAACAAGUACGUAUUGAGAAAAGCAUUUCCCACAAUAAAGAAAAAUUUUCUAAAGGCCUACGUUCUAACAGAAACACUAUUUCUUCCUGUAUUUUAAGCAUUAGAGGGAUAGAAUACAGUGUUAAACUUGAGGGUUCACAAAAUUUCUACAUAGUAUAAUUUUAAGUAUUAAAUGCUGGUAUUUGUAUGGAGGUAGCUAGCCCUAA
rnacentral:lncRNA from 1 species